UACGUAGGGGGCUAGCGUUGUCCGGAUUUAUUGGGCGUAAAGAGCGUGUAGGCGGCCAGGCAGGUCUGGUGUGAAAACUCGAGGCUUAACCUCGAGAUGUCAUCGGAAACCAUCUGGCUAGAGUCCGGAAGAGGAGAGUGGAAUUCCUGGUGUAGCGGUGAAAUGCGCAGAUAUCAGGAAGAACACCAAUGGCGAAAGCAGCUCUCUGGGACGGUACUGACGCUGAGACGCGAAAGCGUGGGGAGCGAACAGG
rnacentral:rRNA from 1 species